rnacentral:rRNA from 1 species
UGGGGAAUAUUGGGCAAUGGAGGCAACUCUGACCCAGCAAUGCCGCGUGAGCGAUGAAGGUAGUUUUAUUGUAAAGCUCUUUUCUCUGGAACGAACAAAUGACGGUACCAGAGGAAUAAGCCCCGGCUAACUACGUGCCAGCAGCCGCGGUAAUACGUAGGGGGCGAGCGUUGUCCGGAAUGACUGGGCGUAAAGGGUGUGUAGGUGGUUUGAUAAGUUAGAUGUGUAAUACCCAGGGCUUAACUCGGGUGCUGCAUCUAAAACUGUUAGACUUGAGUACUGGAGAGGAUAGUGGAAUUCCUAGUGUAGCGGUGGAAUGCGUAGAUAUUAGGAGGAACAUCAGUGGCGAAGGCGACUAUCUGGACAGCAACUGACACUGAGGCACGAAAGCGUGGGGAGCAAACAGGA